ensembl:snRNA U6 U6 spliceosomal RNA
GUGCUUUCUUCAGCAGCACAUAUACUAAAAUUGGAACGAUACAGAGAAGAUUAGCAUGGCCCCUGUGCAAGGAUGACAUGCAAAUACGUGAAGUGUUCCAUAUUUUU